CAUAUCAAUUACAUACAGUGGUGUAGGUAUGUACUCAUUAUUGUAAACAGUAGGUACCUAUUUUAUUAGAUACAUUUUAAGUUAUUAAAGUAGUACCUAAACCAUUUAAACCAGUUGUGUUGCUAAGAUGAUGAGAAUUAAAGUGUGAAUAAAAUCAAUUGAGAGGAACAUGUUAAAAUUUAGAUAAACGACCAGAAAUUACAAAACCAUUUUACAAAUAGUCGUAAAAUAAGAAAAAUAUAUAUCAAUUGGCGAAAAAGAAACCUCUGAGUGAAUGGAGAUACAGCUGGACUACAGGGGGUCAGAAAGUAAUAAUAAAAAUAAAGUAUGAUAAAUUACAUGCAACCGAGGCAAGUUGUGGGUUAUAUAGUGAAUCUACUAGUGUGUUGGAAACAGGCUUUGGAGCAAUAGAAAACACUUCAAUUCAUCACGCUGACAGUGUAGUCGCCGGCAUAAGCCCUUGUCAGCCAGGAGUUUUUAAACCGUCAACUCUUUUCGCCAAGACAGCCUAAUAUCUUAACCGUUGAAUUAAUGGUUUCAGUGGCGGUGAAAAACAGAAGAAAAAAACGAUACAUUUUAUUAUGAACCAAGUAUAGAUAUGAAACAUUGUCAGUGCAGUGUUGUUGUUAUGUUCAAGACGAAUAAAAUUAAUAUUUGUUAUUAUGUGGGCUAGAUAAUAUAUAAAUCAACUGGAUGACCUCUAGAUUUUAUUUUUUAAUUUUUAUUAAUAACUAAUGCAAUAUUAUAUAUUUGUCAGUUGUGAUUAUUGUUUAUAUCAUUAUAGUAUGUAUGUAAAAGAUUUUAAAAUAAAACAAAAUUGAGAAACAUAUCUAAAAAAAUCAUGAAUCCAGUUUUAAACAAUUUUAUUUAUUGUUUUAUACCUUUUUAAUUUCAUUUAGAUAUGUCAAUAAAUAUUUAAAUGUCGAAUGAUAAUCAAUUUAUAGUUAAUUAUUCGAAAAGACAAUUUAUUAUUUACUACUAACAGCACUUGUUUUUAAAAUUCAUAAAAAAUAGUUUCGAUAUUAUAUUAAAAUAAAAAUCUUUGUCCUUUAUGUAUUAUAAUAUAAUAUAAUAUAGUGCUGUGCUUUUAUUUGUACUAUCGAUUUUUUUGUUAUAAAAUCAUCGAGAUUGGUUUGUUGUAUUUAGUCUUUAUGUAUAAAACAUUGGUGUUAUUUUGACCAUACGACGCACACAUUUGUGAAUUUAAAAUCAAAUAUUAUGGUAAUUUAGUACGCUUCUUAAAUUGGUUGCUCUGAAAAUGGAUAGUAGUUUUCGCCUUACUGAUAUACAUAGACAAGGAUUGUGGCCUGCAUAAGAAAAUACGUAGGUAUUAAAAAAAAAAAAAUAAAUUUUGUCACUGGUAAUAGAGUUGAACAAGUGCAUUAUCACAUAGCUAGAUAAUAAUCAAUAUAUGAAUUUAUUUUAAUGAUAGAUAAUAGUCGAUGAUAUAAA